rnacentral:rRNA from 1 species
GGUCAAUGGGCGCAAGCCUGAACCAGCCUGCCGCGUGAAGGAUGACGGCCCUAUGGGUUGUAAACUUCUUUUGUACGGGAAAAAACCACCGGUCGUGUAUCGGUGCUGAUGGUACCGUAAGAAUAAGCAUCGGCUAACUCCGUGCCAGCAGCCGCGGUAAUACGGAGGAUGCAAGCGUUAUCCGGAUUCAUUGGGUUUAAAGGGUGCGCAGGCGGAGUGAUAAGUCAGUGGUGAAAGCCUACAGCUUAACUGUAGAACUGCCAUUGAUACUGUCAUUCUUGAGUAUUGUUGAGGUAGGCGGAAUGUGUCAUGUAGCGGUGAAAUGCUUAGAUAUGACACAGAACACCGAUCGCGAAGGCAGCUUACCAAGCAAUAACUGACGCUCAUGCACGAAAGCGUGGGGAUCAAACAGGAUUAGAUACCCUGGUAGUCCACGCCGUAAACGAUGAUCACUCGAUGUUGGCGAUACACAGUCAGCGUCUUAGGGAAACUAUUAAGUGAUCCACCUGGGGAGUACGGUCGCAAGAUUGAAACUCAAAGGA